rnacentral:misc_RNA from 1 species
AACAACACAAAAAGCGCCGCGAGAGAAACCAGCGUCAGAACCAGGAACAUCGCGUUGGUAACGGGGUUGCGGAUCCAGGGAUUGACCACGCCGAAGCCGAAUACCAGCGUAAGUGCGGCGAAGACAUAGAACAGGAGAUCGGGCAUGGGCUGGUUAAAUAAAAUGGUUAGGGAGGAACGCCCUGUUCGAUGGCUUCUAGUGCUUUGCGUUCCCAUUUGCGGGUUGUGUCGUUGUGGAUUCCGCCCAGCGCGAGCAACUUUUCUUUGUUGUAGAUCAUUUCUUUGCGAGUGGUGCCGGUAAGCGAGUAAUCCUUCAUGAGGAAAAUCGCCUCCUCCGGGCAAACCUCCUGGCAAUAGCCGCAGAAAAUGCAUCGGA